rnacentral:rRNA from 1 species
GACGAACGCUGGCGGCGUGCUUAACACAUGCAAGUCGAACGGAAAGGCCCUGCUUUUGUGGGGUGCUCGAGUGGCGAACGGGUGAGUAACACGUGAGUAACCUGCCCUUGACUUUGGGAUAACUUCAGGAAACUGGGGCUAAUACCGGAUAGGAGCUCCUGCUGCAUGGUGGGGGUUGGAAAGUUUCGGCGGUUGGGGAUGGACUCGCGGCUUAUCAGCUUGUUGGUGGGGUAGUGGCUUACCAAGGCUUUGACGGGUAGCCGGCCUGAGAGGGUGACCGGGCAGGUGGGGAAGGAGAGACGGCCCGGAAGGGGAGGGGAGGCAGCAGCGGGGAAGAGGGCAAGAGGGGCGGAAGGGUGGUGCAGCAACGCCGCGGGCGGGAGGAGGGGCGUGGGGGUAUAAACAGAUUAAGACUGUGACGAAGAGGGAGUGACGGUAAUGGGUAAAGAAGCAAAGGCUAACUACAUG